rnacentral:rRNA from 1 species
AUUGAACGCUGGCGGCAUGCUUUACACAUGCAAGUCGGACGGCAGCACAGAGAAGCUUGCUUCUUGGGUGGCGAGUGGCGAACGGGUGAGUAAUAUAUCGGAACGUACCGAGUAAUGGGGGAUAACUAAUCGAAAGAUUAGCUAAUACCGCAUAUUCUCUGAGGAGGAAAGCAGGGGACCUUCGGGCCUUGCGUUAUUCGAGCGGCCGAUAUCUGAUUAGCUAGUUGGUGGGGUAAAGGCCUACCAAGGCGACGAUCAGUAGCGGGUCUGAGAGGAUGAUCCGCCACACUGGGACUGAGACACGGCCCAGACUCCUACGGGAGGCAGCAGUGGGGAAUUUUGGACGAUGGGCGCAAGCCUGAUCCAGCCAUGCCGCGUGUAUGAAGAAGGCCUUCGGGUUGUAAAGGACUUUUGUCAGGGAAGAAAAGGCUGUUGCUAAUAUCGACAGCUGAUGACGGUACCUGAAGAAUAAGCACCGGCUAACUACGUG